UACAGAGGGGGCAAGCGUUGUUCGGAAUUACUGGGCGUAAAGGGCGCGUAGGCGGCCCGCUAAGUCGAACGUGAAAUCCCCGAGCUCAACUCGGGAACUGCGUCCGAUACUGGUGGGCUUGAAUCCGGGAGAGGGAUGCGGAAUUCCAGGUGUAGCGGUGAAAUGCGUAGAUAUCUGGAGGAACACCGGUGGCGAAGGCGGCGUUCUGGACUGCAACUGACACUGAGGAACGAAAGCCAGGGGAGCAAACGGG
rnacentral:rRNA from 1 species